GUCUAGGUAGUAUAGUGGUUAGUAUGCUCGCUUGUGGUUGUUUCACUUUGGAACAUAACCAAUUCGCGAUUGACGUCAGUUCGAUUCUGGCCCUGGACA